UACGUAGGGGGCAAGCGUUGUCCGGAAUUAUUGGGCGUAAAGAGCGUGUAGGCGGCCAGAUAAGUCCGCUGUGAAAUCUCGAGGCUCAACUUCGAGCUGUCGGUGGAAACUAUCUGGCUAGAGUCCGGAAGAGGAGAAUGGAAUUCCUGGUGUAGCGGUGAAAUGCGCAGAUAUCAGGAGGAACACCGGUGGCGAAGGCGGUUCUCUGGGCCUUACCUGACGCUGAGGAGCGAAAGCAUGGGGAGCAAACAGG
rnacentral:rRNA from 1 species